CGGGGGAUGGCUCAGCUUGGAUAAAGAGCGCUUGGUUCGGGACCAAGAGGUCGUGGGUUCAAAUCCCACUCCCCCGA
rnacentral:tRNA from 1 species